rnacentral:rRNA from 1 species
UCGCCUGUUUUAUCAAAAACAUUACCACAUGUUUAUAUAUGUGGCAAUUUCUGCUCAAUGAGAAUUUAAAUAGCCGCAGUACUUUGACUGUGCAAAGGUAGCAUAAUCAAUUGUCUUAUAAUUGAAGUCUGGUAUGAAGGAACAAAUGGGGGAAAACUGUCUCUUGGGAAGCUAUAGAACUUACUUAGGGAGUGCAAAAUCUUUCAAAAAUACAUAAGACGAGAAGACCCUAGAAAUUUUUUAGACUUAUAUUUGGUAUUUUGUUGGGGCGACAGAGUAACAAUUUUAGCUUACUCUUAUAUAUUUGGAUUUUAUAUAAAGCAAAGGUAAAUUACUCUAGGGAUAACAGCAUAAUAUUUUAAAGUUUGUGACCUCGAUGUUGGACUAGGGAAGAUUAAUGU